rnacentral:lncRNA from 1 species
CCCCCAUCCAACCCUCCUGGUAAUUAUUUGAGCGGCGGCGGCGGCGUAGGAGGCGGAGAGCAGCGGCGGCGGCGGCGGCGGGAGCGGCGCAGGCGGUGGCAGGGCUCCUCCGGGCUGCUGGCUGGGAAGGCGUGGGCGACCCGCUGUGGGGGCGCCCGGAGCCCCGCAUUUCAGCCCCAGGGAAGGUUGAAGGAUCCUUUGGAGUCUUAGAAUUUUUGGCAGUACCUUGAAGGGAUGGAAACUGUUCAUCUGGAGUUGGACUUGAGGAUGAACCAGG